ACAAACUUGGUCAUUUAGAGGAAGUAAAAGUCGUAACAAGGUUUCCGUAGGUGAACCUGCGGAAGGAUCAUUCGAAAAUAAUUUCAUUUUCAUGAUACACCCACCUUUGUGCACGUGUAAAUUUCUGUGUUACCCACUAAUUUUGGUGUGACCCAAAGACGAUGCCUUAGAAAUAAGGCAAGCGUUUAGGACCUCAAAAUGAGAUUAUCUCGUUUUUAGAGGGAAGUGCACACCAGAGUGGGCUUAAAUCAACUCGUUAUUAUUAUCUUUAUUGUCUGAACUUGUUUUUUAUCAUAAGAUAAAUACAACUUUCAACAACGGAUCUCUUGGCUCUCGCAUCGAUGAAGAACGCAGC
rnacentral:misc_RNA from 1 species